GGCAACAACAUAGACUGUGAAACAAGUGGAG
rnacentral:piRNA from 1 species